CCUACGGGAGGCAGCAGUGGGGAAUAUUGGGCAAUGGGCGCAAGCCUGACCCAGCAACGCCGCGUGAGGGAAGAAGGCUUUCGGGUUGUAAACUUCUUUUCUGAGGGACGAAGAAAGUGACGGUACCUCAGGAAUAAGCCACGGCUAACUUCGUGCCAGCAGCCUCGGUAAUAAGUAGGGGGCAAGCCUUGUCCGGAGUUAAUGGGUGUAAAGGGCGUGUAGGCGGGGAAGCAAGUCAGAUGUGAAAAAUCAGGGAUCAACCCUGAGCCUGCAUUGGAAACUGUGUUACUUGAGUGCUGGAGGGGCAAGCGGAAUUCCGGGUGUAGCGGUGAAAUGCGUAGAUAUACGGAGGAACACCAGUGGCGAAGGCGGAUUGCUGGACAGUAACUGACGCUGAGGCGCGAAAGCGUGGGGAGCAAACAGGAUUAGAUACCCGGGUAGUC
rnacentral:rRNA from 1 species